UACAGAGGUCCCAAGCGUUGUUCGGAUUCACUGGGCGUAAAGGGCGCGCAGGCGGCUCUGAAAGUCAGAUGUGAAAGCCCCGGGCUUAACCUGGGAAUUGCAUUUGAUACUCUGGAGCUUGAGUACGGGAGAGGAGAGUGGAAUUCCCAGUGUAGAGGUGAAAUUCGUAGAUAUUGGGAAGAACACCGGUGGCGAAGGCGGCUCUCUGGACCGUAACUGACGCUGAGGCGCGAAAGCGUGGGGAGCAAACAGG
rnacentral:rRNA from 1 species